GAUGAGAAAAGAAAAAGCAAACGCAACCGAUAACUUUGGAGACAAAUGCAGCUAGUUUUUCCUUUCCUGCCAUCUUCCACUGGAGAGCACGAGUACUUACUCUGAAGCUGCAGGUAGGAACUCUGCAAGCCACUGGCAUGCAAGCCAGGAGGGGAAAGGUGCCGCAGCGCCCCAGGCCCUCACUCCCCCGCCCCGGGAGUCUGCCAGGCCAGCAAGCGUGGCAUUCAGCACAGAGGCUGCAAAGGACGGUCAGAGCACCGUGGAGACCUGGUCUGUGCAGAUUGGCCUACCCCGGCCCCUGGGGAACAAGGAUGCCCCUUCCAAAGUCUCACCCCAACUAGAUGAUAAGCUGCUGAAGGUCCCCUGUCAAGAAACAGAAUGGCUCAGUGCCUAGGUGCAGGCUCUGACUUUUCAUCUGUGUUCAGAUCCUGCCUCCCUACUUACAAGCUCUGUUACCUCACCCUGGAUGAAGAAACUGAGACUCAGGGAAGUCAAGUGACUCGCCCAAGAACAGUGAAGGGUGUGUGUAAACCUGUGUCUGUCUACACCUUUAACCAGUGCUGUGCUGUCAAACCUGGCAUUUCAGCCCCACACAGUACCCAUGAAGGAGAUGACACUAGCCCUAUCUUCUCUCACACACAGGUGUGGCCCGAUGUCAGGCCUGUCAGAGUCUGUGUCCAGAGCCCCUGCACCCAGUGUAAGAUGUUGAAAAUAAAAACCCAAGGUGUGACUUCGGUCUGUUAUAAUAAGGAGA